rnacentral:rRNA from 1 species
UACAGAGGUCUCGAGCGUUGUUCGGAUUCAUUGGGCGUAAAGGGUGCGUAGGCGGCGGGGUAAGUCUGAUGUGAAAUCCCGGGGCUCAACCCCGGAACUGCAUUUGAUACUGCCUUGCUUGAGGACUGGAGAGGAGACUGGAAUUCACGGUGUAGCAGUGAAAUGCGUAGAUAUCGUGAGGAACACCAGUGGCGAAGGCGGUUCUCUGGACAGUAACUGACGCUGAGGCACGAAGGCCUGGGGAGCGAACGGG